rnacentral:rRNA from 1 species
GACGUAGGGCGCGAGCGUUGUCCGGAUUUAUUGGGCGUAAAGAGCUCGUAGGCGGCUCAUCGCGUCUGCCGUGAAAACCCGCAGCUCAACUGUGGGCGUGCGGGCGAUACGGGCAGACUGGAGUACUGCAGGGGAGACUGGAAUUCCUGGUGUAGCGGUGGAAUGCGCAGAUAUCAGGAGGUACACCGGUGGCGAAGGCGGGUCUCUGGGCAGUAACUGACGCUGAGGAGCGAAAGCGUGGGGAGCGAACAGG